rnacentral:tRNA from 1 species
GUGCUCGUAGUUCAAUGGUUAGAGCCCCAGAUUGUGGAUCUGGAUGUUGCGGGUUCGAGUCCCGUCGAGCACCC